rnacentral:rRNA from 1 species
CGGCCCAGACUCCUACGGGAGGCAGCAGUGGGGAAUAUUGCACAAUGGAGGAAACUCUGAUGCAGCCAUGCCGCGUGUGUGAAGAAGGCCUUAGGGUUGUAAAGCACUUUCAAUGGGGAGGAAAGGUUGUAAAUUAAUACUUUAUAACUGUGACGUUACCCAUACAAGAAGCACCGGCUAACUCCGUGCCAGCAGCCGCGGUAAUACGGAGGGAGCUAGCGUUGUUCGGAAUUACUGGGCGUAAAGCGCGCGUAGGCGGACAUUUAAGUCAGAGGUGAAAUCCCAGGGCUCAACCCUGGAACUGCCUUUGAUACUGGGUGUCUUGAGUUCGAGAGAGGUGAGUGGAAUUCCGAGUGUAGAGGUGAAAUUCGUAGAUAUUUGGAAGAACACC